AAAAUGCGUUACUUUUCAUGACUUGCAAACUUCAUGAAUGAAAAGACUUCGAAUGCAAAUUGCGCCGAUGGUUUUUAACCAUUGGCACAUUUGUUUGAGAAUCAUAUAUAAUAUAUACUGAUUUCUUUUUGGAAUCAGUAAUAUUUGAAAGGUUUUUUAUGCCUUUUGUACAUGGAGGACUUGGAGCUUUGAGAAUUUCCGUUGCUGGAAACUCUGAUAGCCUUGUCCUUUUCAUAUAACCUUAUCUCAAAGGGGGAAUUUGAUCGCGUCUGUACAAGACGGCUUUCUUUUUAUGGUUUUUCUCUUUUAUGAAAAGCUUGAAUCGACAAUUUUAUAUAUUGUUGAGAUAAAAGUUUUUUCAUAUGAGUUGCCAUAAAAUUAAAGCUCUUCUGUGCGUUCAAAUUUCAUCAUUUUUAUGAUCUCAAAUCAAGUGUGACUACCCGCUGAACUUAAGC
rnacentral:misc_RNA from 1 species